rnacentral:rRNA from 1 species
AUUGAACGCUGGCGGCAGGCCUAACACAUGCAAGUCGAACGAGUGGCGGACGGGUGAGUAAUGUCUGGGAAACUGCCUGAUGGAGGGGGAUAACUACUGGAAACGGUAGCUAAUACCGCAUACCAUCAGAGGUGCCCAGAUGGGAUUAGCUUGUUGGGGGGGUAACGGCUCACCAAGGCGACGGUCCCUAGAUGGUCGGGGAGGAUGACCAGCCACACGGGAACUAAGACACGGACCAGCAUCCUCCGGUAGGCAGCGGUGGGGAAUAUUGCACAAUGGUCGCAAGCCUGAUGCAGCCAUGCCGCGUGUAUGAAGCAGGCCUUCGGGUUGUAAAGUACUUUCAGCGGGGAGGCGUUACCCGCAGAAGAAGCACCGGCUAACUCCGUGCCAGCAGCCGCGGUAAUUC